GACAGAGGGUGCAAACGUUGUUCGGAAUUACUGGGCGUAAAGCGCGUGUAGGCGGCCAUCUAAGUCGGGCGUGAAAUCCCACGGCUCAACCGUGGAAGUGCACUCGAAACUGGAUGGCUAGAGUCCUGGAGAUGGAAGGUGGAAUGGCUUGGUGUAGAGGUGAAAUUCGUAGAUAUCAAGCGGAACACCGGUGGCGAAGGCGGCCUG
rnacentral:rRNA from 1 species